rnacentral:misc_RNA from 1 species
GAAAUCGAAGCACAAGCAUAAAGAUGUUUUAGCAAGAAAACAAAUAAAAAAGCCGGAAUCCAGAAUGAAUAAAGAUGGAAGAAAAAGCUAAUUAGUCCUUGUAAAGCAAAUAGAGAAAACUAUAUGGGACUCUGAAAAUACCCAUGAAAUCUCUUCUUAGAUGGCUAAACUGCUUCAGGGGAGAGAAGGAGAGUAAAUCAUCGAUUUGCAGCAGACGCUUCAUAAAUAUUUUUCACAUCCAGUUACACAGGUACAUUUUAACAUGUCUUAAACCACAUUAUCUAAUGCUAGCAGAAAAUACAUCAAAAACUACAAACAGAGAGUUAUUUCUAUUAAAUUGCACAAGCAGCAGCAGUCCUAAUUGUUCUACAAACUUAACCAGGAAAGGGAGAAAGAAAUAUGUAUUAUAGUGAUAAAGUAGCAAACUACCAGAAGUGAGAGAUUCCAUAUCACCACUUUUUAUGGUUCACUAGUCACUGGCACCUUCUCAUAUACUUUCAGCUCCUUAAAUCUUUUCGGCAGGAAACAACGACCUCCAUUGCGCUGCUGCAAGUAUAUGAUUGCAGCAGAUAGCAGACCUCCAAGAGGAAUGAUCACAUCCCAAGCAGUGGAGUAAUAAUCUGCAGCAGGAUUGGCAUACAUGUACGACCAAUCGAAAUCAUCAUUGUAGUAGUGUGCCCUGUAAAGAUCAUAAGUGUGCGGUAGCAAACGCACAAAUGUUGUCCCUAUGUAGAAGAAACAAGAG